rnacentral:rRNA from 1 species
GACGAACGCUGGCGGCGUGCUUAACACAUGCAAGUCGAACGCUGAAGCUCAGCUUUUGUUGGGUGGAUGAGUGGCGAACGGGUGAGUAACACGUGAGUAACCUGCCCUCUUCUUUGGGAUAACGCCCGGAAACGGGUGCUAAUACUGGAUAUUCACUGAUCUUCGCAUGGGGGUUGGUGGAAAGGUUUGUUCUGGUGGGGGAUGGGCUCGCGGCCUAUCAGCUUGUUGGUGGGGUGAUGGCCUACCAAGGCUUUGACGGGUAGCCGGCCUGAGAGGGUGACCGGUCACAUUGGGACUGAGAUACGGCCCAGACUCCUACGGGAGGCAGCAGUGGGGAAUAUUGCACAAUGGGCGCAAGCCUGAUGCAGCGACGCCGCGUGAGGGAUGGAGGCCUUCGGGUUGUAAACCUCUUUCGCUCAUGGUCAAGCCGCAACUGUGGGUUGUGGUGAGGGUAGUGGGUAAAGAAGCGCCGGCUAACUACGUGCCAGCAGCCGCGGUAAUACGUAGGGCGCGAGCGUUGUCCGGAAUUAUUGGGCGUAAAGGGCUUGUAGGCGGUUGGUCGCGUCUGCCGUGAAAUUCUCUGGCUUAACUGGGGGCGUGCGGUGGGUACGGGCUGACUUGAGUGCGGUAGGGGAGACUGGAACUCCUGGUGUAGCGGUGGAAUGCGCAGAUAUCAGGAAGAACACCGGUGGCGAAGGCGGGUCUCUGGGCCGUUACUGACGCUGAGGAGCGAAAGCGUGGGGAGCGAACAGG